rnacentral:tRNA from 1 species
GCCUGGCUGGCUCAGUUGGUAGAGCAUGAGACUCUUGAUCUCAGGGUCUGAGUUCAAGCCCCAUAAUGGGUG